rnacentral:lncRNA from 1 species
GUUUUCUUGUUGAAAUCAGUGCAUGUUCUAUAAUCUGACAUCUUUGCUUGGUAAGAAAUUUUUGAUUUUUUAACCUGAAAUAAGGCAGUCUGUUGUAUUAAACUUUUUGAUAUCAGUGGUUGUGUUAAAAUCUUUUCCAUUAUCUGGUUACAUUGUUUGGUUGGAAGUCCAUUUUAUUCAAUCUAUCAUUGCACAGCAUAUUAAUGGGUUAUCCUCAAUGUCCCUUCCAUUAACUGGAAUUAUGCAAUCUGCUGUGUUAAAAUCUUUGAUAUCUGUGGUUGUGUUAAAAUCUUUGAUAUCUGUGGUUGUGUUAAAAUCUUUGAUAUCUGUGGUAGUGUUUAAAUCUUUGAUAUCCGUGGUUGUGUUAAAAUCUUUGAUAUCUGUGGUUGUGUUACAAUCAGUGCAGGUACCAUAAUCUUUCAUUGUUACUUGGUAAGAAAUGUAUUGAAUUAUUUCUGGAAUAAGGCAGUCUGAUGUGUGAAACUUUUUGAUAUCAGUAGUUUUAUUAAAAUCAGUGCAAUAUUCAAUAAUCUAACAUUUUUCAAUUCGUAAGAAAUGUAUUAAAUUGCUUGGAAUAGAGCAUUCUGGCAUGGUAACUAUUUUGUUGUUUGUGGUCGUAUUAAAAUGAGUUCCAUACCCUGAUAAUGUUGUUUGGUGGGAAGUCCAUUUGAUUCAGUCUACCAUGGUACAGCAUAUUAAUGGGUUAUAACCAAUGUUCCUUUCAUUAACUGGAAUUAUGCAGUCUGAUGUGUUAAACUCUUUGAUAUUUGUGAUUGUGUUAAAAUGAGUGUUGGUAUUAUAAUCUGACAUUGUUGCUUGGUAAAAAUGUAUUGAAUUAUUUCUGUAAUCAGGCAGUCUGGCAUGUUGAAUAUUUUGUUGUUUGUGGUUGUACUAAAAUGAAUUCCAUACCCUGACAGUGUUGUUUGAUUGGAAGUCCAUUUGAAUAAAUCUGUCAUUUCAAGGGGUUAUCCUCAAUGUUCCUUUCAUUAACUAGAAUAAUACAGUCUGCUGUGUUAAACUCUUUGAUAUCUGUUGUUGUGUUAAAAUUAGUGCAGGUACUAUAAUCUGACAUCGUUGCUUGGUACGAAAUUUAUUGAAUUGUUUAUUUGGAAGAUUGCAGUUUGAUGUGUUAAUUUUUGUUUGUUUUUGGCUGUAUAAAAAAUCAGUUUUCUCACAACACCAUAUUGACACUUUUGUUCUAUGCCUUCUACAUUUCCCUAAAAAAAAAAAUCCUCAAGAGAGACAUAUAUUUUUUCUAUUAUAAAAAAAUUUAAAACUAUAUUCUGAUAAAACCAUUUCAAAUAUACAUAUGAAAAAACUACCUUGAACACU